UCACUCUAGUGUUAAAUAAAAAAGAUCUUCGAUCAAGGGCUACCAUUUCAACAGCCAAGAAAAACAAUAGUGAUGCAAGUUAUCAUCAAAGCUCAAACACUAGGGGCUAAGGCUCCUCACUCUUUCUUGUGAAAAAUCAAAGCAUCAACGACAUUGGCCACCUAAUAAAAAACUGACAGUCGAUGAAGAAGAAUGCUUCAAAUUAUGGACAUCUGAGCGCUCCCCCUCGCGUAGUUGUCCUGUUUUAUAUAUCCACAUAUAUUAAAUUCAGUAUGAAAAGAAAGAAUUAAAAAAGGGAAACAUAACAAUUUUCCUUUAUUUCCACUUUUUUUUUCCCUUUCAAAAUCAUACAAAAACUUUAGGGCUGGUAAUUUAUUCACUAAAACCAUCAGCCAUGAACACAACACAAUCGACUCAUCAAGGUUAAUGUUCAAUUUGCUUGUCAUAUUCUUCUGAAAAUGACAUAACCAAACAACAUUCACCUUGACUUGACAAUUUCUUCUUUCAUGGCAAGUGAAAGAGCAUUUAAACAACAGCCACUUUCUACUACUACACCAGGCAUUGCCACAGCUCUACUCCCCACAAAACUGCCUUCACCUACUCUAACUUUUCCAAAUUUCACUACCCCUUCACCUUCAUAUAUGUGUCCAAAUAACAAUGCUUCUUUGCCUAUACAUCCACCUCUUUCAAUCUCUACCAUUUCAGGAUUCAACAAAACUCCACUGCUAUCUACAUAAACCCCUUGACUUAAUUCAACUUCUGAUCCCAUGAGUUUCAUCCAAAUGACAAACAAGAAUGAUCCUGUUGUCAUUUCCAUGAAAUAUUCACUAACAAGUGUCCUAAAUGCUUGCCAUAAUGUUUCCAUUAAUAGCCCUUUGCUCCAUAUUAGUGCUUGUCCUCCAUCUUUCUUCUUUGUAGUGAAAAGUAGUUUUGCUAACACACAAGCCAAUGCUGCUAAUAGCCCUGAAGAUAUCCAAAAGAAAGGAAAAAACCAGUAUCGUGGAUGAUUUGUUGUUAAAAACAUCAGCCAGUUUAGAGGGCCAUGAACUGAAUAUGCCAAGAAAAAGUAUGGCAAGAAUGUUUGCAAUAGUGGCUGAACAAAAGUGGACCAAGAAGUUUGAUACCAUGUUCUUGAUAGAGCUACUUCUUGAUGACUUGUUUCUUCUUUUACUUGUAGUGAAGAUGCUAUAGGACAACCAGAGAGAUCAACUUUCACAUCUGAUUGCUCUAUGAAGUUCUUCCAGGCUGCUGGAAGUGGUUCACCAUUUCUCAAAUGUUGACAAAUUUCAUAGAUCAACGAACGACCGUGAUCGAUUGAAGCACUUUGAGAGGCUGAUGUGGCCUUCACAACAUCAAUCUCGUGGCAUCGACGAAAGGGGUUGAAUUCCAGCUUCUCUGAUUGCUCCUUUGUGAGGUUCUGAUCAAGAAUAAUUUCACCAACAUUAACAUAUGGGAAUUCAGAUUCAUCCCAUGGCCUAGUACAGUCAAGUGCAAUGUCUUGUGUUGCUUCAUCCUUAGGCACUGGCCUGAAUUGUAGUUGGAAAAUGUAGCGAAUGCCACCUGGUGAACUGACCCUUUUCUUGAAAUCAUCAGCAAGGAAAAGUAACGGACGCGUGUCGUUAUCUUUCCUAGGAAUUGCACCUGUUUCUGGAGGAAGUAUUCCAAUAGGCUCAACUUUACCAGAAUCUUCACUAAUGUUUUCAUCAAAAGGCCUUAACUUGAACUUAACAUACAUUUCUUGUCCAUCUGUGAACCUGAAAAGCCUGCAUAUAUUCGAGUAAUAAUGCAUCUCUGUAUACGAGUUCGAAUCACGUAGUGAUGUCCAUACUGCAUCGCGAACAUGUGGAACGUGUUUCACGUGCUCCUCCCUUGCUGCUAAGCCACAAACAAGCCAUGUUGCGAAAUCAGAUACAGUCCGAGCAUAGAAAGCUUUCCCUGUCUUCAAUGUCAAGUCAAGAAUCGGUCUUUCAUAAUCUGAAGCAGUAUCAGAGAGUAUUCUCAAAGCAGCACCACGAGCAUCGAGCCUUGCAUCAUCAUCGGCACUUAAGCUGUUGCUGUGCCGGACUAUCACAGGAAAAGAUUUGCCAGAUUGAAAGAUUUUAUGGUCUGGCAAUCCUUUGAUAUUGUCAUACAUCUCAAGAACUCCCUUUCCACUAACACCAAUUCUGUGAAAAUAUCUUGUUUUGACCUUGAGAGUUGUGGAAGCUAAAUUAGCAGCUAGAUUGCCAACUAUCUUCUUGUAUUUCAUAUCCAUCUCUUCUAUCCUUUCAUCCAUGGUAUGUUGGGUGUUCUUUAUCAUGACUGGGACUUGAGAUCCAAUGUAAAUGCCACCACUAUGAAGAACAGAAUUCAUUGGAGCAACUGAAAGUGCACCAAGAAUAACAUUUUCUUGGAUAAGUGACUUAGGAAGUACAACACUUUGGCUCCCAACAACUGAAUUGUCUUGUACCUCAAUUUUCCCGCUUGUGAAUCCGCUCGAGGAAUACAAUCCGGUUAUAAUCCUGCUGAAGUCACCUAGAUGGACACCGUCACCUAGUGUUAUCAAUUUUGGAUCGGAAACCGGGUUGAUUGCUCGGAUAGAACAAUGUUUUCCAACUUUUGCACCCAAGAGUCUCAAGUAUAUGCAGAAAGCUUCAGUACCAGAAAGGAGUUUAGUAAAUCUGAGAUGGCAUGCAACGUUAAUUCUAUGUUUCAACCAUAUUCUCAGUGAACCAUCUGUGCUUUUAGAGAGAAAAUUGUUUACAACUAUGGUAAGAAAGCUGAGAAUCAAGCCAUGUGCCAAGUAGGCAGUUGCAACUGAGACAGCGAAGAUUAUCGGACUUGUUGAGGUACUAGAAAUAAUGGUCAUGUAAGCAAUGAUAGUAAAAGGUAACCAGUGGAAUGCUCCAGAGAGACAGAUUAAGGAAAAGUGUUGAAGAGAUGGAGAUUUUUGAGCUAAUAUUAUAUACAAGAAAUAAAGGAUAGCUCCUGAGAGAGCGCUUAUGAAUCCGACAAUGUAGAUUCCCAUCAAGUGAUAUAUAGCUGUACAGAGACCAUCUUUUGUUUCAUUUUCAGGUUCAAUGACCUGAAAUCACAAUAGAAAUGCAUUAUACUAUGUUGAAAAGAUAUACCAAAUAAUCUUUCAGGGAAUAUAGAUAUUAGGUCAGAUGCAACUUGAAGUCACAAACUACUACUCCCUUCUUUUCAUUUUAUGUAUCUUAGUUUGACUAGUCUCAGAGUUUAAGAAAAAAGAAAGAAAGACUUCAGAAUCUUGUGGUCUUAAACUAUAGCCAUACAAAUAUCUAUGACUUAUUUUAGACCACAAGUUUCAGAAGUCUUCCUUUCAUUCUUAAACUUCGUGCCCAGUCAAAAACCUUCACAUAAUUAGGUACAGAGUGAGUACUUUGAAACUGAGGGAGCAUUAGUUUCUGUUCAGGAGCUAAGCAAGAAAAUAUGAAGACUAUUUAUUUUCAAAUAAAGUUCAUAGGAUACUGUUAUAAACCUUAAAAUAAUGUAAUAAUGAACUGCUUGUUAUAGAUAAAGAGAAAGAGACAUAGUGAUAUUAUUUAAGGUUAUAAGAAGCUUAACAAGCAGAUAAAUUUAACUUUUGAAAUCGGAGUCCUCACCUUCUUACUACUAUUUGAUCUUGAUGCUGCCUUUCCUCCUGUUUUCUGUAAUGAUGGUACCUCAGUCCCUUCUCCCAAAACACUUCCUUUCUGGAGUACAGCAUAAGGACCGACCGAACAGUUUUUUCCAAUUCUUACUGGAAGGAAACUCAACAUUCCAUUUUUAACUUCAUGGCCUUGAAUUAAAGCUCCUUCUGCAAUAACAGCUCCAUCUCCUAUCGAAACGAGUGCUGGAUCAGUGAUAUCGAUGGUAUCCAGUACGACUGAUGAUCCUAUCCUUGCUCCAAAUACUUGGAACCAGUAUUUCAGAAAUACUGUUCCUCUCAAAUGCACUGCCAUAACUUUAGAUGAAAUUUCUUGUGCCUUAUAUAGCGCCCACCACUUAACGAAAUCCAAUGACCAGAUGGACACUUCUGGGGUCAGAGAAUAAUUUGGUUGAAGGACCAAAUUUCCAAGGAUACCGAUGCAUAUGCAUGUUGUAGAUAUGCAUAGAAGCCAAGCAAAUGGUGCCAACAUCAAAGAGAUUGCAUAACCAGCCCAAGGAAAUGAAGUCAUCAAAAUAGGACUUGCCAAAAUCAGGUUUCUAUAGAAAGAUAUGGAUGAGUAGGCAGGAAGGACCAGCAUGAAAAUGGCAUAGACAAAAGCAAGAAGUUGCAAUAGCAUGAUACCAAAUUGACGAGACGAGGAAACUUCUUCAGCCACCAAAUUACAAGAAUCAUCCUCUGAGUAGUCUGGAAGAUAAGAAGGAUUUGCUGCAUCGUGUGGUUGAGAUUUCAUAACUAAAUCCUCCGUGAAGCUUGCCAAGUCAUCGAUGCAAGUUGCUGUGAAGAUAUCGAUUGCACCGACUUGCACUCCAAGAAAAUCUGAAAGCUUUUGAGCUGCCCUUACUACGCCAAUAGAAUCAAUACCAUAAGCUACUAAGCUUUCAGUAGUAGUAAUCUUGCUGAUAGAGAUUCCUGUCUGCUCCGACACGAUUCCCUUUAGGAACUCGACUAUUUCUGUUUUAUUCAUUCUUGGAGUUGGUGAAGGGACUGUUAUAUUCAAAUGUGGCCUUGGUGUAUUUCCCUCCCUGCAUGAACCUGUGGUGAAAGAUCUAAGAAGUUUCCGCUUCGACGAAAUUUGAUCUGGUACCACAUCCAAUGUUCCAUCAGUGAAUUGUUUCAAGCACUCAAAUCUCUUUAUCUUUCCAGAUGUUGUUUUGCUGAUUGUUCGUGGCUUGAUCAGCUUAACAGAAGCCAAAGUGACACCAUGUUCUUCAGCAACUUUCGCCGUAAUUUCCUCAGUGACAUCUUUACUAACGGAUUUACCAUCUCUAACUUCUGCAAUGACAACUAAGCCAACUUGAUCAGAGUGAUCAGGUACUGAAACUCCUUUACUUGAUAAGGUCUCUUCUGGUACUCCAAUAACAGCGCAACAACCCGGGCGGAGGAUUUCAGACGAGCUUUCGACAGUCUUUUCUAUGUCUGAUGGGUUAUGUUAUGAGUGGCCCAGUGCUUCAAAUAAUCAUCAAGGCUAGACAAUUCCGGGAAUUCCACUUGCUGAGAUUCUGUCAAAGCUUUUGGAUUCUUAUCCGAGCAAUCAGAUAAGAGCGGAAAUAAUCUCUGCAAAAACAAUGAUUUUUGAAUUGAAUUAGUCACAUGUCACACUUCAAGUUUUUCUUAAAGUGAAACUUAAUCUGCAUUUCAGUCUUUUUCUGUUUCAGGUACCUUAACGUAAGGAAAUCUCGGUUGUGGAUCAGUAUGUGCAAAGUGCUUGGAGAUUAAAGCCAUUGAAUAGGAUGAAUUUCUUUCAGUGAGCUCAAACGCCAUUAAUCCACCGACAUAAUAAGUGUUUUGCUGA